rnacentral:piRNA from 1 species
UAAGAUGGGUUAAUGAUGUGUCACGU